AUGCCACUCGUUAGGGCGCGAUCUGCCUCAUCUCACGCCACGGCCCGAGCAUCCUCCCAAGCACGCCGGGACGCCGGCCCCGUGGCUCGGGAUCCAGCAGGCGCCCCUCCCCCCCGGCUCCUAGAGCGGAUCCCAAUCGGCCUCCCUUCCCGGCCAGAUCCAGGGGAGUCGGCCCCCCCCGGGAACCCUGGGGCGACCCUCCUCCAGAAGAGGGGCUCCACGACGCUCCGGGCACCAACGCAGGGGGCUGCGGGCUUUCUCCCCGGGCCCUUUCCAGAACUUUGCUGCCCCAACACACGCGCACACGGCACACGCACACACAUGGCACAUGAAUACAUGUACACGCACACACGGCACACGCACACACGGCACACAUGCAUGCACGUGCACACUGUGCCCUCCAGGACAGACCUUUUCCCAGGCAUUCACAGGGCACGGCCCAUCCCCCAGCAGCCCCCUCCUCCCAGGAGGGACCCGGGGGUCACCCUAGGGUCAUGGGGGAGGGGCCGCUCGACUCCUCCCCGGCCGUGCCUCAGACUAAGCUGCGCUGGGGGGGACACAGAGAGCCGCCCCCCCAGGAAAUCUGCCGGCUCCCAGCCCCCAGGGGCGCCACGCUGGGAAGAAGGGGAGGCUGGGGCUGGGGGGCAUCUCCUCCCCUCCCGGGUCCCCCGGACGCCAGGGCCACGGGCAGCCGCUCUUGGGAAUCCGUUUAUUGCAAAGGCGGCUUCUGAGCGUCACCAAGAUAGUCGCGGGCGGCACCCAAGGUCCGAAGUACAAAGAGCCCUCCUGGCGGGACGUGGGAGCGCGCCGCGCCGUCACAAGUCCAGCGCUUCCGUCAGCUUUCUCUCUUCAGGGAUACCAUUUACCUGUAACACAGAGCCACGUGGUGAGGAGGGGGGCAAACGGGGCAAGCAAAAGACAGCUCAGAAGAGGGGAGCCCCUCAAAAAGCUGACUCCACCCCCCCGCCAGCCCAUUUUACAGAGGAGGAAACUGGAGGCUGCCAACACGUUAAGGGCCUCCGUGGAGGGGUCAGGAUUGGCCGAGCUGCCUCCGAGGCCCACAGGCAGAUCUCGCACUCGGCCCUCCCCUUCCUGUGCACAAGGAGAAGGGGGGAUCCGGCCGAGCUCCCGAGGGGGCUGGCGCGCGGCCCAGAAGGUGGUGCUGCCGCUAGUCCCUGCCCCGCAGAGAGCCCGUCGCCUCGUCCGCCCUCUUCGGCUCUCUCUUGCCCCUGGGCGGGCCGUGUGGCCGGAAGGCCCGAGAGAGCCCACGGACCACUGGCCGGGCACCCCGGCACCAGGGACCCAAACUGCCGUCUGGUUCGGCGGACAGAACGGUGCCUUCGCGGGGGCUUCUAG
rnacentral:lncRNA from 1 species